CAGACAAUGUUUCUAAAUAAUACAUAUUCCCUUAUACAUAUUUAUACAUGUUAACUAAAAUAUUAAUCUUGAAAAACAUUUGUGUUAAUGUUUUUGUCCAAAUGUAUUCUGAGGAUGGGUAUUCAGCUGUUCUGAGCAGGACAAAAGCCUCAUUUAGAGAAAUCCAUUUCCUUCUCUUCAUCCAAUCAGGUAAAGCUGUGUCCCGCUGGGCCUCUGCUGUCCAAACAUUACCUUACCCCACUUUCACCCCUCAUAUGUAAGUCUUUUAAACACUAAAGUAGAUACCAGUAAAACAGAAGCAAAGAGUCACAUCUGUUCAAGGCAAGGUGUGUGUUAGGAACCGUGAGUACGCAGAUAUAUAGUAAUAUCGCGAAAAAUAACUGACGGACACUGAAUCUAAUUAAACCUCUUUAUCUCACAAAUGGAGUUUCCUACAUGAUCCACUCAAUCCACAAAAACUGACAUAGGUCAAAUAUACAGAAAGAGUUGCCUGUGAAAAUUAAGAAUUCACACAAAUGAUAUGAAAAAAAA